GCCGCACAGGUCAAAAAGUGUAGAGCAAAGUGCAUAAUUACUGAAUGCUAUCUCUGGCUGACAAUAAAUACUAAAACGUACACACAAUGAAAAGAUUCAUUUUAUUGUCCUAUGUACUACAUCAGUUAAUUGAAUAACAAUUCUUUCUAAACUUUUGCGACAAAAAAAUGUGCAACUAAAUCUGACCCAAAUAUAAAUUUGAUGAGGAUUCUGCGAGGAGGAGCAACAGCAAUCUAUAAUUGCAGCAGGAUGAUCUUGCACAUGAAAAGCUGUUGUUGCAUAUAUAGCAUUUCUUUUUAGCUCCUGACGGUUUGUUCGACGUUGUAGUAAUUGUGCCUCUCUUUUUUUCUGCAGAAACCAAUCUAUCCAUUUAACUUCGUCAAUGCUUCAUCUCAGGAGAACUUUUUGUUGAGAGGGAGUCAUAAUUGUUUUCUAUAGAACUCAUUAGCUCUGCUGGUUCAAUCUGUGCAUCUAUUUUUAAAUUGGUAAAGAACUACAAUUGUCACUGUACAAGGUAUUUAUUUUUAGAGUGAAAUCUACUCAAUGUCCAAGGGUGUGUAUCGCAUUCACGAAAAGAGAUAGUAUUUGAUAGUGAUAAGGAUUGUGAUAUUCAUCCAAUUCAAUGUGAACGGAUGUAUAUUGCAUUCCUAAAAGAGAUAGUAUUUGAUAGGAAUAGAGCAUUAUAUUCAUGAAAUCAAAUUUUGGUAUUGUAGUUGCUGGUGUGUUCUAAUGGAGGGGAAAAUGGACUGAGUGAAGUGUAAGUUCAACUUCUUAAUUCUAUCAGCUCCAUGCUAUACACGUAACUACUAAGUAGAAGAACCUUAACUCCUACUCGCAAAACAGCCAAAACUUUGUUAAGUUUGCUGAGAGCAAGAACAAAAAAAAAUUUGCACAAUUGUGUGUACGCAAACAAAAUAAUAUUGAACAAUCAAGUGUAGGCCGAAAAAUAAACUCCAAUUAGAGCCCACAUAUCAAAUCAAAGGGGAAAAAGUGCAGCGCGCGACAACUUCACAAUCAGCAGAAUGUAAUCCACAGAAAUCGAAUAAAGGACGAAUCCGUCAGAUUUUAUAUAUUUAAAAAAGUAGAAAUCACAGUAGAAGUAAAGCAGCCAGAUGUUUUACAUUAACUAUGAUUCUCUAUUCCUCUCGUCCUAGGAACUAAUAAACAGGUGGAGAUUUUAGAUUCAACUCCUGGGCUGAACUGGUGCAUACAACAUGGGUAUAGGAAAAUUCAGCUAGAAGUUGUGCAACCAAAUUGAGGUGCUAUUUUAUUUUUGCAACAUGCUAAGUUUUUUAUCAAUACUUUUUCCAUUUUUACAUCUUUAUGUUUUUCACAUAGUUCUGUAAAUCAUCGUUGUAAGAAUUUCAUUAUAACUCCUAAAAUAUCUGUUAAUUCUAUUUCAUACUAACUUUUUAUUAUUUUUGAAUAAAAGGUUCUGAUAAUUUUGUAAAAUAUAAUUUUACCAAUGUUGGGGGGUGCGGAAUUCAUUAUAGAGUAAGAUACAUAUUUCAUAGAGUAAAAUAUAUUUUAUCAUAAACUUCUCUUCAAUGUUGAGGGGUGCGGAAUUCAUCAUAGAGUAAGAUACAUAUUUCAGUAGAGUAAAAUAUAUUCUAUCAUAAAGUUCUUUUGAUAAUUGUUCUAAUCUAAAUAUUUCUUUAAUAUUAUUUGUUAUAUAUUCUAUGUAUAACAUAUCUUGGGUUCUUUGGUAC
rnacentral:misc_RNA from 1 species